UACGUAGGGUGCGAGCGUUAAUCGGAAUUACUGGGCGUAAAGCGUGCGCAGGCGGUUUUGUAAGUCUGAUGUGAAAGCCCUGGGCUCAACCUGGGAAUUGCAUUGGAUACUGGCGAGCUAGAGGGCGGUAGAGGAUGGCGGAAUUCCCGGUGUAGCAGUGAAAUGCGUAGAGAUCGGGAGGAACAUCUGUGGCGAAGGCGGCCAUCUGGACCAGCACUGACACUGAGGCGCGAAAGCGUGGGGAGCAAACAGG
rnacentral:rRNA from 1 species